AGAGUUUGAUCAUGGCUCAGAAUCAACGCUGGCGGCGUGCCUCAGACAUGCAAGUCGAACGAGAAAGUUCCCUUCGGGGAGCGAGUAAAGUGGCGCACGGGUGAGUAACACGUAGGUAAUCUACCUUCGGGUGGGGAAUAACCCAGGGAAACUUGGGCUAACACCGCAUAAUGCAGCGGCACCACAUGGUGACAGUUGUUAAAGCGGGGGAUUUUCGGACCUCGCGCCUGAAGAGGAGCCUGCGGCGGAUUAGCUUGUUGGUAAGGUAACGGCUUACCAAGGCGACGAUCCGUAACCGGCCUGAGAGGGCGGUCGGUCACACUGACACUGACAUACGGGUCAGACUCCUACGGGAGGCAGCAGUCGGGAAUUUUGGGCAAUGGGCGAAAGCCUGACCCAGCAACGCCGCGUGAAGGAUGAAAUCCUUCGGGAUGUAAACUUCGCAAGAAUGGGAAGAAUUAGCGAGCGCUAAUAUCGUUCGUGAUGACGGUACCAUUUGUAAGCUCCGGCUAACUCCGUGCCAGCAGCCGCGGUAAUACGGGGGGAGCAAGCGUUGUUCGGAUUUACUGGGCGUAAAGGGCGCGUAGGCGGCCAGCGCAAGUCAGUUGUGAAAUCUCCGGGCUUAACUCGGAAAGGUCAACUGAUACUGCGCGGCUAGAGUGCGGAAGGGGCAACUGGAAUUCUCGGUGUAGCGGUGAAAUGCGUAGAUAUCGAGAGGAACACCUGCGGCGAAGGCGGGUUGCUGGGCCGACACUGACGCUGAGGCGCGAAAGCCAGGGGAGCGAACGGGAUUAGAUACCCCGGUAGUCCUGGCCUUAAACGAUGGAUGCUUGGUGUCUGGGGUUUUAUAGUCCCCGGGUGCCGCAGCUAACGCGUUAAGCAUCCCGCCUGGGGAGUACGGUCGCAAGACUGAAACUCAAAGGAAUUGACGG
rnacentral:rRNA from 1 species